rnacentral:piRNA from 1 species
GCAGCCAUGGCGGAUAGGAAGACUAACGG